rnacentral:misc_RNA from 1 species
CUUAUUGUGACAAGAGGGAGCAGGUGAACUAUUUGGAGCAGCAAGUUUGAGUAACAAAAGAGCUGGAAUGUGUGCUUCUUUGACUUUAAUGCUAUUUCUUCUCAUUGGAGGUUACUAUGUCCAGGUAUUCUGUCCGGAACUCUCCUAAUCAGUAAUGGAUUCUUUCUUGUUUAUAUUUCAACUCUUCUUCAUUGCCCUGUGGCUCUACUUGAGCAGAAAAUGUUCCAAGGAUUUCAGAAACAACAUGAUAACUCAGGAAAAAG